rnacentral:misc_RNA from 1 species
CAGAAAGAGAAUUCACAUGUCACAUUUAAUUUAAACCCUCCUGUCCAACACAAUCAGGAUGCCCCAUCUCAAGAAUUUUUUCUGACACUGACGACCAUGCACGGAUGACAAAGCCAGCAUUCAAAUCCAAAUUCCAGAGUGCAAUGAGUAUAACAUGUCGCAUAAAGAAACUGAAAGCAACUUUUAAGGUAACAAAAGUAUGUAUUUUGAAAUCUAAGAACUAUGCUAUAAAAUGAAGAUAUAAAAUAAGUAAAGAACAUCAAAAUAACCAAUUUCCAUAUUGCUUUUUCAAAUAGAAAAUAGAGCAACAAUAUCAAACCUAUUGUUUCAGCUAAUAGUGUAACCAAGGCCUACACCAGAACCAUUUUAUUAAUAAUUAAUAGUUCCAAAACAAUGAAGGAGCACAAAAAUCUCCGUGCCCAAACUAGGAGCACAAAAAUCUCUGUGCCUGAACUAUGUCAAGAGAUUGAACCAAUACUCACCUUCUUUCUCUCAAUCGUUUCAGGGACAUCACCACUUGCUAUACGUUGAGCAAGACCUUCUGCAAUUGCUGUUUUCCCAACCCCUGGUUCUCCAAUAAGACAGGGAUUGUUUUUAGUUCGCCGACCCAAGAUUUGGAUGACUCGCUCUAUUUGUGGCUGUCUUCCAACAACAGGAUCCAGUUUACCCUCCUCUGCUAGCUUGGUCAGAUUAGUUCCAUACUCUUCAAGCGUAGGCAUCUUAUUGCUGCCACCUCCUGGUCCAACAGGAGCAGGAAUAUUUUCUGUGCUUUCACCAACCAUGCGAAUGACCUGUGUGCGUAUGUUGCUUGGGUCAGCACCUAAAUUCUCAAGAACACGGGCUGCUACUCCUUCACCUUCACGAAGCAGUCCAAGAAGCAAGUGCUCAGAUCCAAUAUAGUUGUGACCAAGCUGGCGGGCUUCCUCCAGUGAGAGUUCUAACACACGCUUUGCACGAGGAGUAAAUGGAAUUUCCACUGCAACAAAUCCGCUGCCCCUCCCUAUAAUCUUCUCCACUUCUACACGUGCAUCCUUAAGAUUGAUUCCCAUAGAUUUAAGCACCUUUGCAGCAAUACCAGUUCCUUCACCAAUAAGACCCAGCAGGAUUUGCUCUGUGCCAACAAAGUUGUGACCAAGCCGUCUUGCUUCCUCCUGGGCAAGCAUAAUCACUUUAAUUGCUUUUUCUGUGAAGCGCUCAAACAUAGCCCUAGGUAAAAAUCGCUUAGCCUUCUGUUGCCUGCAUGACAUUGUGAUUGCAACCCUGGAAUGGAAAUCAUGUCCGGAAUUUAGCAAUGUGUCUAAACAGUUUGAACUUCGCAGGCCUGAGAAUCCUCUCAAUAUCAAUGUUGGUGACCGUGAACUGCACAUCAUUUUGGUGGUCAUCCUUGUUGAUGUUUCAAAUUCUUGAGAUUGGCCAUGCUUUAUACCAGAAGCUAUAGCAGGAAUAUUAGUUGAAUGAACCAGAAGCCUUGCCAUGUGAUAUCCCACAAAAACAGUCUGCAUUGCAUUAUUUUGCAUCUUAGGGGAAAAAGUUACAUUAUAUAAAGAGAGAAAGAAAAACCUGGGACUUUGGAAGCACAUACACAAACAAUAUAUAAAUCAUGAUUAAAGGAAAAAUAGUUCAAGAUGCAACUUUUGAUCAAAUGACCAAGAUCAAUUAAACAGUCAUGCCCCCACAAAGGGAGCUAUUAGAAAGUAGAAAGCACAAGUAGCCUUAAAAGGCAUUAAUAUCAAUCAAACAGAAUAACUAUCAAUGCAUAAACUGAAGCUUCUUCAUCACUUAACACCUAAGAGGUUUACAUCCUUUCAUUUCACUUCAAAAGAAAAACUCAGAUAUGAUUAUGACCUAAAUACAUUACUAUUAGCUUUUAAAACUAUAAAUUCACUCUUAAAAAGCAACUAACAUCAAAUCAAGCACGCAAACAUUUCAGUAAAAAGAAAAAGGUACAAGUGCCACUUGCCUUUUCAGAAGACAAAAACCAACAAAAUGAAACACAAUAAUCCACCAAUCUAUAUCCAGGUGAUGAAAUCUAGUAAAAACAAACACUACGAGUUCCACACACAAAGAGAGAACUGAAAUAUAAUAAGGAUAUUAUCGGAGAUUAAUUAAUUAAAAAUUAAAAAGGGAAAAAAAACUAAUUUGAAGUAUUGAAAAAAAACACAUAUCUAAAUCAACAGCAGGUCAAAAACCCUAAGCAGAAAUGCGAGAAAUAAAGAAAUUAAACAAGCUUACCUAAAAUUACAAAGACAAAAAAGGAAGCACAGAAGAACAAUCAAGAAGAAGAGAAGUGAAAAUAAAAAUCCAAAUAGAGAGCGAGAGACCUGAAGGGGUCUUUCCUUUUUCUUCUUUUCCUGCGGAGAAGAAAGACGCUCUUUUAUGGUCAGCCGAGAAGGAAGGAUAGAUAUUAGAUAUACAGAUGUGGCUUAUAAUAUUAGACGGUGUUUUGUUACCCUCUCCUAUCUCGCUCUCUCUAGAUUUUUU